UCGCCUGUUUAACAAAAACAUGUCCUUUUGAUUUUAAUUUAAGGUCUGACCUGCCCUCUGAUUAUUUGAAUGGCCGCGGUACUUUGACCGUGCAAAGGUAGCAUAAUAAUUAGUUUUUUAAUUGAAAGCUGGUAUGAAUGGUUGGAUAAAGGAAUAACUGUCUCUUUCUAAAUUUUUUAGAAUUUUAUUUUUAAGUAAGAAAGCUUAAAUGUUUUUAAAAGACGAGAAGACCCUAUAGAGUUUUAUAUAUUAUAAGUAUUAAUUUUUUUGGAAAUUAUUAACUUUAUUAUUAUACUGUAUUUUGUUGGGGCGAUUGAAAAAUUAAUUAAACUUUUUCUUUAUUAUAACAUUAAUUUAUGAUUUAUUGAUCCAUUGUUAGUGAUUAUAAGAUAAAAUUACCUUAGGGAUAACAGCGUAAUCUUUUUUGAGAGUUCUUAUCGAAAAGAGGGGUUGCGACCUCGAUGUUGGAUUAAAAUUAAUUUUUGGUGUAGAAGCUAAAAAUAUUAGGUCUGUUCGACCUUUAAAAUUUUACGUGAUCUGAGUUCAGACCGGA
rnacentral:rRNA from 1 species